rnacentral:rRNA from 1 species
ACGGGUGAGUAACGCGUGGGAACCUACCCUUUGGUACGGGACAACGCAGGGAAACUUGCGCUAAUACCGUAUGAGCUCUCUGGAGUGAUCUGGGGAGGAAAGAUUUAUCGCCGAAGGAUGGGCCCGCGUCGGAUUAGGUNGUUGGUGAGGUAACGGCUCACCAAGCCGACGAUCCGUAGCUGGUCUGAGAGGAUGAUCAGCCACACUGGGACUGAGACACGGCCCAGACUCCUACGGGAGGCAGCAGUGGGGAAUAUUGGACAAUGGGCGCAAGCCUGAUCCAGCCAUGCCGCGUGAGUGACGAAGGCCUUAGGGUUGUAAAGCUCUUUCGACGGGAACGAUAAUGACGGUACCCGAAGAAGAAGCUGCGGCUAACUACGUGCCAGCAGCCGCGG